UGGUUCUCUUGGAUAGGCUGAU
rnacentral:miRNA from 1 species